CGCCGCCGUGCGCGGGGCCGGGGCCGAGACCUGGUGCGAGGCCGGAGUCGGAGUGCUACCCGGAAUUGAGCGGGGCAACAGCUGGCAGGCGCAGGUCUUUUCUCGCAUCUAAAAGGAAGGCAGGCAGUCCCACUGAGUAGUUAGAGUAUCGGUGCCUUAACAGAUGCUGGUGUCCUACUGCUUUGGUUCAAACAUCAGCUCCAUCACUUCCUCCUGAAGGGCCUUCGAAGAAGUGGUCAAGUUAAGAUGAAGUCAUUAAGGUGGGCCCUGAUCCAAUAUGACUGGUGUCGCUAUAAGACCAAGAGAAGAAACACAGACACAUCUACUAGCCAAGCAAUGCCUGGACUCCUGGCAAACGCCAGCAUCUGGAAGAGGCAAAGAAGGACCCUGCCCUGCAGAAAUUAGACAGAGUAAGGCCCUGAUGAUCCCUGACACUGGACUCCUGCCUCCAGAACUGAGAGAGAAUAAAUGGCUGUAGUUUCCAGCCACCAAGUUCGCAGUCCUUUGUUACAGAGAUGUUAGGAGACCAGUGUACCAUCCUUGUUCCCUCUGCCCCUUGGCUAUGUUUGCAUCCAGCAUGAUGUCAUUCCAGCCAUGUCUGGUCUUUCAAACCAGCUCAUGUCUGUGGCAAAAUCAGGAAAAUCAGGGUUGUGAAAGUCCUAAAGGUCAAGGUUGUGGGAUAGAAGUCCCUACCCUCUCUCUGAUCCACACUUGUCACUUACUAGAGCUGCCCCAGAACUUUGUUUCAUUUGUUCUUGUAACUUUUUGCAGGUGGUUAUAAAGGGAAGGCAGCUGCUGCUUAGCUGUACCACACUCCCCUACUUGUGUCUCCUUGCUCAUCCCUGAGCUGAUUAAUAAACUUGUGUCA